AUUCAUCUGCCUCUCACAGUUUGGGAUUACUUGAUCCUAUGCUACACUGAGUAAGAAUGGAACUUGAUGAUGAUGUUAAUAUUAAUGCUUGUCAUAAAUUGUUUGGAAACUAUGCUUGUUUAGUAUAGUUGCUAACUUAGACUGGUAAAUGAACGUAGAACUUGUGGCUAAAAUAUUGAAAGUAAGGACCUACACUAGUCGCUUUUGGUAAAAACAAACCCCCUAGCCAAAAAGCUUGCAUGUCUAGGUGUUGGUGGAUUACUACCACUGGUCGGUUAAGU
rnacentral:lncRNA from 1 species